AUUUAAUGAUUUCCAGGUGUGGGUUAUGCCUUGAGAAAAGCUAAAUAUUAGACGUGCUCCCUUCUCUUUCUAAUCUUUUCUUAUUGAAAGGGCUAAAUUUUGAAUUCACAAUUUUUAGAGUGAAGUCAGGUUAUCUUUCUCUAAUUGAACACUCAAGAUUUUUAAGUAAUUGGCUUUGGUCCUUAAAAUUUGAGGGUUUUUUUUCCCCUUCCAAUCCUCCCUUUAAAAAAUACCCAUAAGAAAGUUCCUUUUGCACUUUGGGUAAAUUUAGGACACUAAUUUAAAAAACGUGUGAGUGUAUCGUGGCCAAUAGGGCAGCAGCUGGAAUUUCAGUGUAAAGCCUGUCAGUGGGGCAGAGACCAUCUUUCAGCAGCUGCUGUAGUUUUGUUAGCUCUCUGACUGUUGACAAAGAAUCAGUGGCUGUCAUUUGAUAUUGAAUAGUUUUCAGGGUUAAUUUUCUUCUGCUCGUCUCUCAUAUUUUUUUUAAAGUUUUGAGUCAUUGUAUGGGCAUUAUUAGACCCUUGGCAUUCCCAGUGAGGGUGCUGAGGUCCCAGGAGUUCUGCUUCCAUUCCAAGGAGAGCUCUGCUGUGCUGUGCCUGUGACUUUCGGCGCUCUUCCUACCGCCCCCGAGUCCCCUGUGUUCAAGGUCAGAUGCUUGAGAAAGAACGUGAUCAAACAGCCAAGAGGAACUUAGAGGUCAGAGCUCUCUGUUCUCCUCUGGCUUGGAUCCACCUCCCCCCUGGGACCUUAAGUUUGGCGGGCCUCAGAAUUACCAAAGACGUGAAGCAAACCGACCUUGGCCUUCUCCUCAUCAGAAGAGUCCUCUUUCCUCCGGUUCCUGCACCCUCCAGCUUUCUCUAGCAAUCUGAAGUUCAAUGACUGAACCACAACGUAAUUAAUGAUGGUAGGUCCUGCCAGGGAAAUGCAGACCCUUGGUCCUUCAAUAUUCAGCGACGUGGUCUCCUCGUCAGUAAAGACUGUUUUACUAAUAGCAUUAAAAGGUGCUGUCAAUAACAUAGUAGUAAGGAGUAGAGACAGACUCCCACGGCACCCCCACCCAUGUGUCACACCAGCUCAAGAUGUUCUGUCAUCUCAGAGGAGGCAAAACGGCUGCAACCGUGCAAAAUAUGAUAAACCACGAAACAAAAUAGGACAUGACAUCUGCUCCUUAAAUAGUGAAACCUGAGCUGCAGCUUUAUGGGUCUGGCAUACACGCUGUGUGUGUGGGUACCAUUCUGAACACUGAAGAUGAAGAUAAACUAUGUGGACUGGCUCCUGCAGUAGAUGAUUCCUUUCCCGUCUCAGUUUGUCUCCAUCAGGGAGUAGAAGUGGGCAUGGGUGUGGCAGGACUCCUGUCCCUAAGCAUUGGUGACCCCUCUCCUGCAGUGACUGGCUGAAGGCAGAUCCCCAAAAGCCCCAGGGGUUUGCUGGUUCCCUGAGCCCACUGAGGGAGCACCUGCUGACCAAGAGUGGACAAGAAAUUUCAUCCUAAAUAUUGUAGCUCAGUCUCAAAUUGAAGUUCCACUGGGAUUGUUAGGAAAAAUGGAAAUAAAUUCUCAAUCAGAGGGAUGAAAAGAAUUGGU
ensembl:lncRNA